rnacentral:rRNA from 1 species
CCUACGGGUGGCAGCAGUGAGGAAUAUUGGUCAAUGGGCGCGAGCCUGAACCAGCCAAGUCGCGUGAAGGAUGACGGCCCUAUGGGUUGUAAACUUCUUUUAUCGGGGAGCAAAACGCUCCACGUGUGGGAUUCCGAAGGUACCCUAAGAAAAAGGAUCGGCUAACUCCGUGCCAGCAGCCGCGGUAAUUCGGAGGAUGCGAGCGUUAUCCGGGUUUAUUGGGUUUAAAGGGUGCGGAGGCGGAAGAUAAAGUCAGCGGUAAAAGUUUGGGGCUCAACCUCUUCAUGCCGUUGAAAAUGGUGUUCUUGAGUGAGGGAGAAGUAUGCGGAAUGCGUGGUGUAGCGGUGAAAUGCUUAGAUAUCACGCAGAACUCCGAUUGCGAAGGCAGCAUACCGG